ACUUUGGGUUUUAUGCUGAGACAGACCAUUACAAGGUUUUCAGCAUAAGAGUUUACAUGAUUGGAUAUAUAUUUUAACAGGAUCACACUUGACUUGUGAUGCUAGGACAGAAAGUCAUGAGACUUGAGCAGUAAAUCAGAAGAGAUAGGACAUUCCCUUGGACCAGGAUGGUGGCAAUGGAGAUGAUAAAUUGUUGAGUUUGGGGAUGUAUUUGCUAAAUAGUGUGGUCAGGAUUUAUGAUGAGCUAGAUUUUAGGUGGAGUAGGGGUGUGUGUGUGUGUGUGUGUGAGAGAGAGAGAGAGAGAGAGAGAGAGAGAGAGAAUCCAGGAUGACUUCAGUUUUUAGCCUAGCAGCUGAAAGAAUGGAGUUGUUAUUAACUGCAGUGGAAAAGACUGCAGGGCAAGAUGGAGGGAUUACAAGGGGCUCAGUUCUGAAUGUACUGAUUUUGAUUGGGGUUCCUUUAUCUUUCCUUCAGGGAACCUCAGCCCAUCAUAAAAUCGGUACUAGUUUGUACCCCAAUUUUAAACCAGGUUCACCUUUCAUAGAAGGUGACCUACUUCUGCCUGGGUAUUGGUAGAAUUCUUUCUUUAUCCUUGAAGUUCAGUAACUUCAUCAGGAUAUAUCUCGGUCUUGGUGUGAUUCUCUAUUACAUUUUCCUGUUACAUGCGGACUCGCACAGUCAGUAUGACUCAGUAUGCCAGCAACAUACUCAGUAUUGUGAAUGACUUUACUACUUCAGAAUCUGCUGCUGCUGCUAAGUCGCUUCAGUCGUGUCUGACUCUGCGUGACCCCAUAGACGGCAGCCCACCAGGCUCCCCCGUCCCUGGGAUUCUCCAGGCAAGAACACUGAAGUGGGUUGC